UUGAGCCUGAUUGAAUGGAGUGAUUUAAUUUGUUUACUUUGUCACUCAUCCCAGUAAAAAUCGGUUGACCUUUUUGAUACCAAAACAACAUCUAACUUUCUCACAAAAAUGGUUGGUUCAGAUGUUUAGAGUUUACAGAGAGUGACAUGAGGUAAAAUGUUAGAAAGGCAACAGAGGUACAGGGUUAGACAGAGAGGUACAGGGUUAGACAGAGAGGUACAGGGUUAGACAGAGAGGUACAGGGUUAGACAGAGAGGUACAGGGUUAGACAGAGAGGUACAGGGUUAGACAGAGAGGUACAGGGUUAGACAGAGAGGGACAGGGUUAGACAGAGAGGUACAGGACUAGACAGAGAGGUACAGGGUUAGACAGAGAGGUACAGGACUAGACAGAGAGGUACAGGACUAGACAGAGAGGGACAGGACUAGACAGAGAGGUACAGGACUAGACAGAGGGGUACAGGACAAGACAGAGAGGUACAGGGUUAGACAGAGAAGUACAGGGUUAGACAGAGAGGUACAGGACUAGACAGAGAGGUACAGGACUAGACAGAGAGGUGCAGGACUAGACAGAGAGGUACAGGACUAGACAGAGAGGUACAGGGUUAGACAGAGAGGUACAGGGUUAGACAGAGAGGUACAGGGUUAGACAGAGAGGUACAGGACUAGACAGAGAGGUACAGGACUAGACAGAGAGGUGCAGGACUAGACAGAGAGGUACAGGGUUAGACAGAGAGGUAAAGGGUUAGACAGAGAGGUAAAGGGUUAGACAGAGAGGUACAGGGUUAGACAGAGAGGUAAAGGGUUAGACAGAGAGGUACAGGGUUAGACAGAGAGGUACAGGACUAGACAGAGAGGUACAGGGUUAGACAGAGAGGUACAGGGUUAGACAGAGAGGUACAGGGUUAGACAGAGAGGUAAAGGGUUAGACAGAGAGGUGCAGGACUAGACAGAGAGGUACAGGGUUAGACAGAGAGGUACAGGGUUAGACAGAGAGGUAAAGGGUUAGACAGAGAGGUACAGGGUUAGACAGAGAGGUACAGGGUUAGACAGAGAGGUACAGGGUUAGACAUAGAGGUACAGGGUUAGACAUAGAGGUACAGGACUAGACAGAGAGGUACAGGGUUAGACAGAGAGGUACAGGGUUAGACAUAGAGGUACAGGGUUAGACAGAGAGGUACAGGGUUAGACAGAGAGGUACAGGGUUAGACAGAGAGGUACAGGACUAGACAGAGAGGUACAGGACUAGACAGAGAGGUACAGGACUAGACAGAGAGGUACAGGACUAGACAGAGAGGUACAGGACUAGACAGAGAGGUACAGGGUUAGACAGAGAGGUACAGGACUAGACAGAGAGGUACAGGACUAGACAGAGAGGUACAGGACUAGACAGAGAGGUACAGGACUAGACAGAGAGGUACAGGGUUAGACAGAGAGGUACAGGGUUAGACAGAGAGGGACAGGGUUAGACAGAGAGGGACAGGGUUAGACAGAGAGGUACAGGACUAGACAGAGAGGUACAGGGUUAGACAGAGAGGUACAGGGUUAGACAGAGAGGUACAGGACUAGACAGAGAGGUACAGGGUUAGACAGAGAGGUACAGGACUAGACCAAGAGGUACAGGGUUAGACAUAGAGGUACAAGGUUAGACAGAGAGGUAAAGGACUAGACAGAGAGGUGCAGGACUAGACAGAGAGGUACAGGGUUAGACAGAGAGGUACAGGGUUAGACAGAGAGGUGCAGGGUUAGACAGAGAGGUAAAGGACUAGACAGAGAGGUGCAGGACUAGACAGAGAGAUACAGGGUUAGACAGAGAGGUACAGGACUAGACAGAGAGGUACAGGGUUAGACAGAGAGGUGCAGGGUUAGACAGAGAGGUGCAGGACUAGACAGAGAGGUACAGGGUUAGACAGAGAGGUACAGGACUAGACAGAGAGGUACAGGGUUAGACAGAGAGGUGCAGGACUAGACAGAGAGGUACAGGACUAGACAGAGAGGUGCAGGACUAGACAGAGAGGUACAGGACUAGACAGAGAGGUGCAGGACUAGACAGAGAGGUACAGGACUAGACAGAGAGGUGCAGGACUAGACAGAGAGGUACAGGGUUAGACAGAGAGGUACAGGACUAGACAGAGAGGUACAGGGUUAGACAGAGAGGUACAGGACUAGACAGAGAGGUACAGGACUAGACAGAGAGGUACAGGACUAGACAGAGAGGGACAGGACUAGACAGAGAGGUACAGGGUUAGACAGAGAGGGACAGGGUUAGACAGAGAGGGACAGGGUUAGACAGAGAGGUACAGGGUUAGACAGAGAGGUACAGGACUAGACAGUGAGGUACAGGACUAGACCGAGAGGUACAUGGUUAGACAGAGAGAUACAGGGUUAG